rnacentral:rRNA from 1 species
CCCUUAGAUGUUCUGGGCCGCACGCGUGCUACACUGAGUGGAUCAGCGGGUCAGGUUGCGCGAAAGUGUUUCCUAAUCUUGAAAUCCGCUCGUGAUGGGGAUUGACGGUUGCAAUUUUCCGUCAUGAACGAGGAAUACCUUGUAAGCGCGGGUCAUCAUCCCGCGCUGAAUACGUCCCUGCCCUUUGUACACACCGCCCGUCGCUCCUACCGAUUGAGUGGUCCGGUGAGGCUUUGGGAUCUGAGCAAAGAGAGCGUUUCGCUCGUUUUGCCCGGAAAACUCAGUCGAACCUUAUCAUUUAGAGGAAGGAGAGGUCGUAACA